AUUANGUAGAUCUGCUCAGGGAAUUAUUUAGUAGCCGCAAUUGUGCUAAGGUAGCAUAAUCGUUUGUCUUUUAAUUAAAGACUAGAACAAAAGAUUUAACAUUUAAAAUUAUUUCUUUAAUCUAAAUAUUAAAAUUAUCUUAAAAGUAAAAAGACUUUUAUAAAAUAGAAAGACGAUAAGACCCUAUUGAAUUUUACUUUAGUUUAACUGGGGCAGUUAAUUAAUAAAUAUUUUAAUAAUAAUAUUUAUUAAAUUGAUCUAAUAAAAUUAAUUAAAUGAUUAAAUUACCGUAGGGAUAACAGCGUAAUAAAAUUUUAAAGAUCUUAUUAAAAAUAAUAAUUGCGACCUCGAUGUUGAUUUAAUAUUCUUAUUCACGCAAUAGUAGAUAUAGAAAGUCUGUUCGACUUUUAAAAAAUUACAUGAUCUGAGUCAAAACCCGGAGA
rnacentral:rRNA from 1 species